AGUUCAGCCGUGGGCAUAGCAAAUACUGAUUUUUCAUCUUUCCUCUACUGCCUACCUUCAAAUCUCCAAAGGCGCUUGUCAAUAUGAUCAGCAACCCUGUUAACUCCACUGUCCCAAUUGCCGCUGAGGUUUUCAAGAAGGCUGGAACCUAUGAUGAAAAGAGACUCUUUGGAGUGACCACACUUGAUGUUGUUAGGGCAAAGACUUUCUAUGCAGGAAAAGCUAAAGUUAAUGUUGCUGGUAUGCAUCUUAGUGUACUUCCUGGUUAAGAAUUGCUAUUAUUUUAUUUUACUUACACCAUAAACCGCUGAGGUGUUCAAGAAGGCUGGAACCUAUGAUGAAAAGAGACUCUUUGGAGUGACCACACUUGAUGUUGUUAGGGCAAAGACUUUCUAUGCAGGAAAAGCUAAAGUUAAUGUUGCUGGUAUGCAUCUUAGUGUACUUCCUGGUUAAGAAUUGCUAUUAUUUUAUUUUACUUACACCAUAAAUUCAUGUCAAGUUCUCUCCCG
rnacentral:lncRNA from 1 species